rnacentral:lncRNA from 1 species
CACGUAUGAGCUCAAGAAGCAAAUCUCGAGUCUAGAAUCUUUUCUUAAGCUCGAACGAAUCAAAGGCAAAUGUCGCGGAAUUGCCGGUGGUCAGUGCCGGCGGUGAGGAAGCGGCGACGGCAGGUCGAAGUCAACGGCGGCGGCGCUCAAUAAUGGUGGUGUGGAGGAAGGUGGAAACUCAAAAAACCCUAGAUAGACAAAUCUAAGAAUUCCUGGAACAAAAAAUCCUGGAUUUAAAACUCCUCCGGCACAGUGUUUAAGUCAAUAAUAAGAGAGGGAGGAUUAAAUAUUUAGCAAAAUAUCCAAAUAUUAUCCAAACAAUCUAACAAGUCACUAGUUUCUUCUGUUCUACUGAUAAACGCGAACAAAAGACGGACACAUUAUACAUCCAGAAUAGAUGCACGGUUAAAACUCAAGUCACCAGCAGCAGCAGCAGCAGCAGCAGCAGCAGCAGCAGACCCAAGUAAGUUCCCGUCUAUCUCUCUGUCUCAUUUAAUCACAACAGCUAUAUUCACUUGUUUUUUCAACUGUACAUCAUCCCCCCACCCACAUCCUCAUCUUUGUGCACACAUUACACCACCCGACUCCUCACCACCAUUACUCGAGUAACCAACUAGCUCAUUCUCUGUAUUAUGCUGCUGCGUCCCAGCUACCGACUCUGACACGUUUGCUUCACCUUCUACCUGUAUCUAUAUAACCGAACAAUCAUCUCUCCGUAAACCAACGCAUUCAUUACUGUUACCAUCAACAAAACUUUAUUCCAAAGACAAACAUAUACUGUACCUGCUCUACUGGUACUGUACCAUGAUCCUGGUGGUUCUUCUUGGACAAAUCUCUUAGUACUCCCUGUUCAUUAUGUCAUUCAUUUUCACCAAUCAAUGUUAGUAACGAUUAGUAACAAAAUCUCAAAUAAACUUGCUCUCUUUCUUUACUCCGUUCUUUCUUUCUCAAUCUCAAAUAACGGUUAGUAACAAAAAAAUCUGGUGAUAUGCACCACUAUCAGGCAUCAGCAUGCAUAUCGUAUGAACUAGGCCGUUCACGGAAACCAGUUCAAACUCAUGGAUAUCUUAUCAUGUGUAUAAGUUAGCUGGGAUUCGAAGAAGAUGAACUUCAGAACCUGAAAUGUUGAGCAAGAACAGUUUAUAUCCUCGUGGUUGCAGAAAACGUGCUGUGAUAGAAG